rnacentral:rRNA from 1 species
GACGAACGCUGGCGGCGUGCCUAACACAUGCAAGUCGAACGGAGAUAUGGGUGCUUGCACCUAUAUUUUAGUGGCGGACGGGUGAGUAACGCGUGAGCAACCUGCCUUACAGAGGGGGAUAACGUCUGGAAACGGACGCUAAUACCGCAUGAAAUAUUGAUAUGGCAUCAUGUUAAUAUCAAAGGGAAUAACCGCUGUAAGAUGGGCUCGCGUCUGAUUAGCUAGUUGGUAAGGUAACGGCCUACCAAGGCGACGAUCAGUAGCCGAACUGAGAGGUUGAUCGGCCACAUUGGGACUGAGACACGGCCCAGACUCCUACGGGAGGCAGCAGUGGGGGAUAUUGCACAAUGGGGGGAACCCUGAUGCAGCAACGCCGCGUGAGGGAAGAAGGUUUUCGGAUUGUAAACCUCUGUCUUUGGUGACGAUAAUGACGGUAGCCAAGGAGGAAGCUC